AUCAGUUACGUGCCCAGUGGACAGGUUUCUGACCAGAGAAAGGAAUGCCCGUGAACUACAGCAAUCUUAGAUGCCCAGGUUACAUUAUCCGAACAGCCCUGAGGCUGAACUGAAGGAAGUCCUCCAGCCUUCGCAGGGGAAAUCUGACACAGCUAGAAAGCAAUGGAAAACACUAAGCGUUGCAUCAGAUGUUGAAGAGGAACUGAUCAUACCGUGGAGAUAAAAAUGAUCUCUUUAAGGAGGAUUUCAAAAAUCUGGUUAUUUCAAGGCUUUGUGCACUGAUGGGAAUGAGGCAGCCGGCAGCCAAGCCACAUAACGGGAGCCUGGAGAAAGAUGUCUUGGGCAAUUUACACAAGAGUUUCCUUCUUUAAAUAACCACACAGUAAGUCAAUAUCCCUGAGGGCAU